rnacentral:lncRNA from 1 species
AUUUAAGGAUCCAGGCUACACCCAUCUCAUGGCAUCGUGAUGUAAAAUGUACAUCCGCACAGCUGCUGCCAAGGGAGAGAGCAGACUGGGAGAUCAGGCACUGGCACCAACUGCCUUGGCAUAAGAGUGUAUGAAUCACUGUCGUGCCCAGUCUUAAGCUUUAGAAUUAUUGAAUUUGAACGUUCCCCCACCAAUAAAGAGAUAAAAUGUAGUAAAGGUUUUUAAAGAGUGUAGACCAACACAAAGCUGUCCUUCAUGCCUGUAUGAUGCACUCCAUGGCAUCGAAGGCUCAUAUUCUGUCAGACAGAUCUCUGCCCCACUGUCCUGAGUAUGUCAGAAUUGUCCUGGGAGAGAUCAAUGUAAGAAGUCUUUCUGUUUUCUUUGGCGGGAGCAAGGAUGAGUUUCUUAGGAACCUCUUACACCUCUUUAGCCAGAACUGGUUGCCAUUUGCAUGGCAGACAGAACUAUGAUUGGGUCAUAUGAUCAGAAUGGCCUUCUUAUAGCUCAGGGUGCAGUGGCUUUCCACCAAGUGCUAAGCUAUGUGGAAAAAGGGUUUGUCUAAACACAAUCAGGGCAGGUGAGAAAAGGAAUAUGCCAGAGGAACUGACACACCAAUGUUUAGAGGAGGAAGAGUGGGGAGAAGGCUGUGCUUUGUGAGAGCUGCUAUGUAAGUCUAGCUGUGUAAGUGCAGAGGAGGGAGCCAGAAGAUGCCAGAAGAUGCGUCAGAUGCGGCAGAGCUUGCAGGGUCCUGAUCGUGUGGUUCAUGUUAGGCAGUCCGCGCUUCCUCCAAUAGGCCACCAAAGACUGAGGGUGUUAUCCAAGUAAUUUAAGUGGCUCACAGAGUAUUUUUAUCUUAAUACAUAUAUGAGUAGGCUGAUGUGUAUCUUUAAAACAUGUAACAAGAAGAAAACAAAAACAUUUAAAGAAAAAGAUCAAUAAGCCAAUGAAAUUGUUUUGUUAGUAAAAGCACUCCCCAACAGGAGUUUGAUUCCCAAAUUCCAUAGUGGAAGGAGAGAACCAAUUCCCAAAAUUUAUCUUCUGAUAUUCAUAUGUGUGCCAUAGCAUUCAUAUACCUGCACUCACACACAUACAUCUCACACACACACACACACACACACACACACACACACACACAUAACUACAACGACAACAACAAAUACAAUAAAAAUUAAAAGACUGAUUAUUUUAAUUCAUUAUGACAAAUUCACAAUUUUUGACUCUGGAGCAAACCUAUGCCAUUUAUAGCAGAGUGCUACCCUUUGAUAAAUACGCAGACUACAAUACUCCAAAUGAACCAACUAAGUUAAAAGCAAAAGACAUGCACAAGCACUUUGUAAAAGUAGAUACCCAACUGGUUGAUAAAUGUGAGAAAUGUUUUAAUCUUAUUAGUCACUGGAGAAAUGUAAAUGAAAACUGCAAAGUGAUCCCGCUUUACACCUAGGAGAAUGUAGGAAAGGCAGUAACUGGUGGUGCUGCUAGGAUAUGAAGGGAGCAGUCGCGAGCUCACUGAGGUGCUGACACCAGCAGCCUGAAGAAUCCUCAGGGCCUUUCCCUGUCAGGACUGAAGUGACAACAUGCCUGAGUCCAGGCAACAGGUGGGAUUCCUUCUCGGGCUUCGUCUAUGGAGUGUCCACCUGGUCACUGGUCUCACUGAGUCAUUUCCUAGUCCCUGAAUGUGACCAGGGAUUGAGCAGACGUGAACCAAUAUCUGAUAUAUAAGAAAAUGCCAGGGGUAGCAGUAACAGAAUUAGUUCCAAUCUUAGGCAUACAAAGGACACAAAAUAGUGAGGUCUGCCCAUAUCUGUCAGGUUUACCAUUUUUUACAUUUUUAAACUUAAUUUAUUAUUAUUUUUUUGUGUACGCAUGUUUUGCCCAAGUUUGUCUGUGAACCAAAGGUAUGCCUGGUGCCUGUGGAGGCCAAAAAAGGGUAGUGUGUUGGUUCCUUAGAACUGCAGCUACACUUUCUGUGAAUCACCAUGUGGGUGCUGAGACUCAAACCUGGGUCCUCUGGAAGAACAGCCAGUACUCUUAACUGCUAAGCCAGUUUGGUUUGACUGAGAUGGCUCCCAUAAGCUCAUAUAUUUGAAUACCUGGCCCCUAGUUGGUGGAACUCUUUGGGAAGUGUCAUAGUUUAGGUUACUUUUAUUAUGAUAAGACACUAUGAUCACAAGUAAGUUGGGGAGGGAAGUAUUUAUUGGGCUUAUAUCCAUAGUCCAUCACUGAAGUAAGUCAGAACAGGAACUCAAACAGGGUGAAAACUGGAGACAGGAGUUGAUAAGGAGGCCAUAAAGGGGUUGCUUAUUGGCUUGCUUCUCAUAGCUUGUUCAAUCUGCUUUCUUAAAGAAUACAGGACCACCAGCUUAGGGAUGGCACCACUCACAAUGGGCUGCCUCUUUCAUCAGUCACUAAAAAGAAAAAAAUCAGUCAUUAAAAGAAAAAAUGCCGUAGCAGCUUGCCUACAGCCCUAUCAUAUGGAGGCAUUUUCUCCACCGAGGCACUCUUCCUCUCUAGCUGGUGUCAAGGUGACAUAAAAAUAGCAGGAAAGAUUGGGAAGCGUGGCCUUGUUGGAAGAGGUGUGUCACUGAACUUUCAAAAGACUUAAGCCAUUCCUAAUGUGCUUUCUGCUUCCGGUUUCGGACUGGAGUUGUGAGCUCUCAUUUCUGAUCCAGCAGCAUGCCUGCCUGCUGCUGUGCUCCCUACCCUGGGAAUGCUGGACUCCUAUCCCUCUGCAACUGUGAGCCCCAAAUAAACCCCUCCUUCUGUAAGUUUCCUUAGCUAUGAUAUUUUAUCACAGAGAUAGAAAAGUAACUAAUACACUUGCCUCCAUCUCCCCCUGCUACUGUCCCAAUGAGAAACCAGAAUUAGAUCCCACCAAAGUACAUCCUGGAGAAUCUUCAUGGGUUUUUUUGUUUUGUUUUGUUUUGUUUUGUUUUUUGUUUUUUGUUUUUUUUUUUUUUUGUUUGUUUUUUGGCUUCCUUUCAGAGCUAUGGGCGAGGGUGCUUACAGGCAGGGGGCAUGGGUAACCUUAAAGCAGUCACACUGGGAGGGCUGUGCCCAGAAAGGAUGACAGUUUCCCCAUGACUGCAUAGACCACACCCUCUUCUUUAUUUUGUCUCUUGCUUCUAUACUCUAGCUCCACCCACAAGCCAUAUGAAAUUAGGGCAGAAUUGCACAACACUUGUUGGGAGGAGUAGCUGGGUAUUCAGGAGUAUCCUGCUUAUCCUCCUUGACGUCUUCUCUAUGGAAUGCCAACAGUCAACAAGCACAGCUGUGAUGAUCUUUCCCAAUCAGACACAGCUGAACUCACAGAGAUGGUGGCUGUUUGGCCUUGAGGGUAGCCCUGUACAACAACACUGUUAACUCUCCUAACACCCAAGAAGACAAAGUAAUUAAGCCAGUUGACCUUAGCCAGGCUCUGUUGUCCACCACUCCAUGAUGGCAUUAAGGGGCACAUAGGUAAAGUGGCCAUAGUGACAAGACAGAGGCUGUGAGAGUUGAUUUUUUUAUUGUUAGCCUCAUGGGAUCUAGAUUACCCAGGAGACACAGCUCCAGGCUGGCCUGACGAAGGUGUCUUCAGAGAGGGUAACUGAUGAGGGUAACCUGGCCCUCGGAGUGAGUAGCUCCUUCCAACUGAAGGCCCAGGUAUAAAGAAGUCC